rnacentral:rRNA from 1 species
GAGAUAUCCUGGGCAUCCUAGGGUCCUGGGCACAACCCAUCUGGGAAACGGUGGCUAAUACCGGGUGUGCCGAAAGGGGAAAGGUUAACUGCCUGGAGAUGAGCUCGCGUCUGAUUAGCUAGUUGGUAGGGUAAAGGCUUACCAAGGCGACGAUCAGUAGCUGGUCUGAGAGGACGAUCAGCCACACUGGGACUGAGACACGGCCCAGACUCCUACGGGAGGCAGCAGUGGGGAAUUUUCCGCAAUGGGCGAAAGCCKGRCGGAGCAAUACCSCGUGAGGGAGGAAGGCUCUUGGGUUGUAAACCUCUUUUCUCAGGGAAGAAGAAUGACGGUACUUGAGGAAUAAGCAUCGGCUAACUCCGUGCCAGCAGCCGCGGUAAUACGGAGGAUGCAAGCGUUAUCCGGAAUGAUUGGGCGUAAAGCGUUCGCAGGUGGCAUUGAAAGUCUGCUGUCAAAGAGUCUGGCUCAACCAGAUACAGGCAGUGGAAACUUCAAAGCUAGAGUGCGGUAGGGGCAGAGGGAAUUCCUGGUGUAGCGGUGAAAUGCGUAGAGUUCAGGAAGAACACCGGUGGCGAAAGCGCUCUGCUWGACCGCAACUGACACUGAGGGACGAAAGCUAGGGGAGCGGAAAGGGA